GGAGUCUGGACCGUGUCUCAGUUCCAGUGUGGGGGACCUUCCUCUCAGAACCCCUAGACAUCGUCGCCUCGGUGGGCCGUUACCCCGCCGACUAGCUAAUGUCACGCGAGCCAAUCCGUCACCGCCGUAACUUUCAACAAAGAAUGAUGUCAUCCCUUGUAUUAUGGGGUAUUAGGAGUCGUUUCCAACUGUUAUCCCCCAGUGACGGGCAUGUUGCUCACGCGUUACGCACCCUUCCGCCGGUCGCCGCCAGGUGUAUUGCUACUCCCGCGCUGCCCCUCGACUUGCAUGUGUUAAGCCUGCCGCUAGCGUUCAUC
rnacentral:rRNA from 1 species